rnacentral:rRNA from 1 species
UACAGAGGGUGCGAGCGUUGUCCGGAAUCACUGGGCGUAAAGGGCGCGUAGGCGGCCUGAUAAGUAGGGGGUGAAAUCCUGUGGCUUAACUGCAGGGCUGCCCCCUAGACUGUUAGGCUCGAGCACGGUAGAGGCAGAUGGAAUUCCCGGUGUAGCGGUGGAAUGCGUAGAGAUCGGGAAGAACAUCGGUGGCGAAGGCGGUCUGCUGGGCCGUUGCUGACGCUGAGGCGCGACAGCGUGGGGAGCAAACAGG